rnacentral:lncRNA from 1 species
GAUAUUCAUGGAUUUCUUGUCUCUUUGAUUCUUCACUUGAUUUUGCCCAUUUCUCUACAUUACCUAGGAUUCAUUGUUAAGUAUGUGAUCUUUUAGGUUAUUGCAUGAUUCACUUCCAGUUACAAAUUGGUUUUCAUGUUCUUAAUUCUUUAUUUUGCCCAGGAGUGCAAAAGGCUAAGUGUGGGGGUAUUUGAUGAGCAAUAUUUUACCCAUUUUAUAUAGCCUUAAUUUGUCAUUAUUAAUGAUUAUUCGUAAUUAAUUGACCUUGCUUGACAGAGAUUUCUAUUAU